UACGAAGGGGGCUAGCGUUGCUCGGAAUCACUGGGCGCAAAGGGCGCGUAGGCGGCCAUUCAAGUCAGGGGUGAAAGCCUGUGGCUCAACCACAGAAUUGCCUUUGAUACUGUUUGGCUAGAGACCGGAAGAGGUAAGUGGAACUGCGAGUGUAGAGGUGAAAUUCGUAGAUAUUCGCAAGAACACCAGUGGCGAAGGCGGCUUACUGGUCCGGUUCUGACGCUGAGGCGCGAAAGCGUGGGGAGCAAACAGG
rnacentral:rRNA from 1 species